UAGCCGUAAACGAUACUCGCUAGGUGUCGGCCACGGUGCGACCGUUGUCGGUGCCGUAGGGAAGCCGUGAAGCGAGCCACCUGGGAAGUACGGCCGCAAGGCUGAAACUUAAAGGAAUUGGCGGGGGAGCACAACAACGGGUGGAGCUUGCGGUUUAAUUGGAUUCAACGCCGGAAAUCUUACCGGGACCGACAGCAACAUGAAGGCCAAGCUGAAGACUUUGCCGGAUUAGCUGAGAGGAGGUGCAUGGCGUAGACGUCCU
rnacentral:rRNA from 1 species